UUGGUCAACACUGUCCACGCUUUGCUAACAGCGGGUUAUGCGUGCAGUUAGACAAGAGCUACAACCGAGAGACGGGGAUAUAGUGUUUGUGUGAGAACCUGCGUUGCUGUGUUGAAGAACUGUUUUGGACAUUACAUUGACUAUUGUAAUGUAAAUUAAAUAAAUGGCAUGCGCCAUUUCUCUCAAAAGGGAAGACUGAUAGCAAGUGUGUGUAACCAGCCCUUUUGAGUCCUUCCGUGUGGGUUACAGAUAAGAAACGUGUUGUUCCCCAGCCCAGUGUUGAGGACACUGUCCCAUCCACUGACCUCCACUAUGUCGCCUCUGGUCCUGACCUGCUGACCAGUGACAUCGUCCCCUGGGCUCUUGGCUGCACCGGUCUGGGAAUCCAAGCUGGCCGCCCAGUCUCCUCCACUAGCCUCCAACCAACCACCUGCAGGAAAAGCAGAUCAAGCUUCCCAUCCUCCAUGUCUACUGACUGUAAGAGAUACAGAAUGAGAGGAUGUUGGAUCAAGAAAUCAGAUAUGAGCAUCCUGCUUUGGAGCAUCUUCUGAUUGGGCAAUGAGGGAUUGAUAUGAGUACUAUGCAACAUGUGGAGGUGUAGUCUGGUUGUCCUCCAUGACCAUGGUCCCCUCAGUGUUCCCCAGACCCUCCUCACACCCCUCCUCCUUCACCAGCAGCACCUCUGGUCCCUCCUCCUCCUGGAAGAGACAGGUGAUACAGAUUACACAGACAUACACUCCCUCAGGUACGUACACACAGAUAAACACACUUUCAACAUGGAGUGUUUAUCCCUCCCCACUACGUUUGAGUCCUUAUACUGUAGUUAGUGACUUCAUUGUUCUUAAACCCAUAAUGGUGGACAUAAAUAUGAUGUGGGCAAAAAUAAGUCAGCUAUGAUAAGUUAAAAGUCUUCAGACAAAUCUGACGAAACUAUUUUGACGUGUACAGUAGGUGUUUGUUAGUGUGUUGGUAUGUGUAGCUAUAUUUAGUGUAUAUUGGUUAUAAAGCCCUAUCAGUGUAUGCAGAAUAGGGUGAGAUCAGAUGUGAUGUAUACUAAAGAAUCUCAAGGAAAGUCUUGGAAUUAAAAGUCCCAUUUUGUGUUUAUUAAACAAACAGGUUUUAAAUACACCAUAUGAAAACCACAAAUACGCAUUUGAACAAAAAAAUCUGCAUGAAGUUGAUGAACUGCAUUCUUUUUCUCAUUAAAGGUUUUCUGGGAUAAAAAGUAGUUGAAUGGAAGUAAUGAAAUAGGCAUUUGUGAACAUCAUAUAGCCUACACAGUACAAACACAAUAUGUAACAUACUUUUUAUGCUAUACUGUUUGUCAUUUUACCUUUACAUGUUUAUGUCAUUUAGCAGACACUCUUAUCCAGAGCGACUUACAGGAGAAAUUAGAAAUUGAUCAAGGGCAGAGACAGAUUUCACACCUAGUCUACUCAGGGAAUCGAACCAGCCACCUUUCGGUUACUGGCCCAAAGCGUUUAACCGCCAGGCUACCUGCUGCCCUCUAAAUAUGACUUAUAUAUUCCACAAUGUUUGGGCCUUGCAUUUCAACACACUUAGUUGUUGUGGAAAUUGACCCACUACUGCGGUUUACUUUGUACAUCUACAGUGCCUUCGGAAAGUAUUCAGACCCCUUGAUCUUUUCCACAUUUUGUUAAGUCUCAGCCUUAUUCUAAAAUGGAUUAAAUAAAUACAAAUUCUCAGCAAUCUACACAUAAUACCCCCUAAUGACAAUGUUAUUAAAUAAUACCUUAUUUACAUCAGUAUUCAGACUAUUUGCUAUGAGACUCAAAAUUAAGCUCAGGUGCAUCCUGUUUCCAUGGAUCAUCUUUGAGAUUGCUUGAUUGGAGUCCACCUGUAGUAAAUGCAAUUGAUUGGACAUGAUUUGGAAAGGCACAGACCUGUCUAUAUAAAGUUCCACAGUUGACAGUGCAUAUCAGAACAAAAAACAAGCAAUAGAGCUCCAAGACAGGCACAGAUCUGGGGAAGAGUACCAAAAAAUGUAUACAGCAUUGAAGGUCCCCAAGAACACAUGGGCCUCCAUCAUUAUUAAAUGGAAGAAGUUUGGAACCAUCAAGACUCUUCCUAGACCUGGAUGCCCGGCCAAACUGAACAAUCGGUGAGGGAGGGCCUUGUUCAGGGAGGUGACCAAGAACCCGAUGGUCACUCUGACAGAGCUCCAGAGUUCCUCUGUGGAGAUGGUUGUCCAUCUGGAAGGUUCUCCCAUCUCUGCAGCACUCCACCAAUCAGGCCUUUAUGAUAGAGUGGCCAGACGGAAGCCACUCCUUAGUAAAAGGCACAUGACAGCCUGCUUGGAGUUUGCCAAAAGGCACCUAAAGACUUUCAGACCAUGAGAAACAAAGAUUCUCUGGUUUGAUGAAACCAAGAUUCAACUCUUUGGCCUGAAUGCCAAGUGUCAUGUCUGGAGGAGACUUGGCACCAUCCCUACGGUGAAGCAUGGUGGUGGCAGCAUCAUAUUGUGUUGUUCUUUUUUCAGCGACUGGGAGACUAGUCAGGAUCAAGGCAAAGAGGAAUGGAGCAAAGUACAGAGAGGUUCUUGAUGAAAACCUGCUCCAGAGUGGAAGGUUCACCUUCCAACAGUACAAGUCUCUGAAUGUCUGAGUGGCCCAGCCAGAGCCUGGACUUGAACCCGAUCGAACAUCUCUGUAGAGAACUGAAAAUAGCUGUGCAGCAACACUACCCAUCCAACCUGACAGAGCUUGAGGGGAUCUGCAGAGAAGAAUGGGAGAACUCCCAAAAUACAGGUGUGGCAAGCUUGUAGGGUCAUACGCAAGAAGACUUGACACUGCAAUUGCUGCCAAAGGUGCUUGGGUCUGAAUACUUAUGUAAAUGUAAAUGUCAUUUUUGUUUUUAUUUUUAAUAAAUUAGCAAAAAUGUCUAAACCUGUUUUUGCUUUGUCAUUAUGGGGUAUUGUGUGUAGAUUGAUGAGGGGAGAAAAAACAAUUUAAUCAAUUUCAGAAUAAGGCUGUAACCUAAAAAAAAUGUGGAAAAAGUCAAGGGGUCUGAAUACUUUCCGAAGGUACUGUACAUCAUCUUGCCGAGUCUACCUUUAAUACAGGGUUUGAUCUAAACGUCAGAAGCUAUCGAGUGGAAUGAUUACUUUCUAUGUUAUAGAGUGGAAUGGUUUUUCUGCAGGUGUAUCUUGAGGUAGCUCCUCUCUGAAAACCUUUUCCCGCAGUGCGUACAGGCAAAUGGCCUCUCUCCCGUGUGGAUCUUCAGGUGCAUCUUCAGAUGGUCCUGGCGGGAGAACCUCUUCUCACACUGGGAACAGUUGUAGGGUUUCUCCCCUGUGUGGACCCUCUGGUGCCUCUUCAGGGUGCCAGCUUCGGUGAAGCGCAUGUGACACUGGGUACAGCUGAACCGUUUCUCUUUACUAUUGCCUGAUGUGGCUCCCCCUCCCUGAGCCUGGGCUCUAUCCCUGUCAUUUGAGUUCAAAACCUGAUGGAAAAGGACGUGGCUGUGUAAAUCGGAAGGGCCCAUCGAUGUGGACACUGGGUCGUGAUCCCUGAACAAGUGUAAAGGAGAGUGGGUCGUGACAUUUGGAUUUGUCUCUAAGCUUUCCCUGUAAUCUAAGAAAUCUCUGCCCUGUGAGUGUCCAUCUCCUAGGUUACUAUCUGCAUUCCAUGUGGGAGGAACAUCACCCUCCAAUUUCAUAGUCACUUCAUCUACGACUAGACCCUCCCCUUUCUUAUCAAGGCACCCUUCAGAGUAUACACUACUACUGUAACGGUUCCAGUCCCCUCUAGACAGAUCAGUCUGUAUCUCUAAACCCAAGGGCAUGUUGCCAGGGUCUAGCUCUGUAGAGUAUGAACACGACGGAUCAUCACUGCCAGUGUCUAAAGAUUCACCAAGCCCACUUGAAUGAACCAUCCUCUGGCUUUGGUGAAAUACAGGUAAAUAGUCUGAGCUGGGGGCAGGAGGAACGCCCAGUCUCCGCGCCCCCAGUCUCUCUGGUUCUGAUCUGUGGUCAGAUCCUGUGUGUAAGAGCCUGUGUGUUACAGUUAAAGUCUUGGUGUCUGUCGCUGACUUGAGAACGGCGUUCUGCGUUCCACUGACCUCCGUGAUGCUGUGUCGGGUCCUGGGCUGUGCUGGGGCGGUGGUGGAGUUCUCCGUGGGUACAGGGGGCGCUCCAGACCCUCCAGUCUGGUUGUCUCUGCUGUGCCGUGGGUCCUUCUCUCCUUCAGUCUUCUCCUGCUUGACUCCAGAACCUGCAGCCUCUGCAGCUGCAGACUGACAAGAAAAAGGAGGUUAUUAUCGGUACAACGGUUGAAUUGGAUAAGAAUGUCGUAAGUACGUCUCACAAACUCGCAUAUGGCAGAUAAAUGAGGACGUACAUGUAAGCAAGUGAAUAGCUGGGGACACAUUUGAUAUACAAAGUAACUGUCAUUUUUAAUGCAACACUAUUCCACUGACCUCUAUCACGAUAAUGUGCUGGGUUGAGGUUCCACUCCCCUCAUCAACAGUGAUUGGUUGGUCAUCUCUCCAUGUGCUGUGUCCUGCUGGCUUCACAAAGCUCCUGUGGCCUUCAGUGAGAUGUCCUUCACCUGAGAGAGUGAUUGGGGGAAAAUAGGUGGUUAGGUUAGCUACUAUCUGCUCCAAGGUAUAGACCCCUUUCUGUGUUUGCAAUUUGGUUGCAGAACUCGCGGGAGUUAGACGAAAGUCCAUACCUUUUAAUUUUGGGGAGAUUUCUAUUCUUCAAUAGCUCUUCAACAAAGUGUGCCAAGCCUGCCCCAAAAAGUGGAUUUUUCUCCAUCCUCCCAAUAUUCAUGACACACUUCCUUUAGGAGCUAGUCUGGGUACCAGUCUUCGUAGCUAACAUUCCACUCCUGUCAUUUUCCAAAGCUUUUGGGCAAUCUCAGCAUUUAUUAUGCAGCCGGACAGCGGCUGUCUGUCCUCCACCGAGCAAAACUAUUGUACCACACGGAGGGAGCUACUGGCAGUAGUGGAGUUCACUACACACUUUCGUCAAUUCCUGCUCGGAAGACCCUUCAUCGUGCGAACCGACCACAGCAGUCUUCGGUGGCUCAUAAGGAUGAAGGAACCAAAUCAAAUCAAAUCAGAAGGUCGACUGGCGAGGUGGCUCGAGAAGCUUGGGGAGUAUAACUUCAAGGUCAUACAUCCAGGAUGCCACCGCAAAUGCUGACGUCCUGUCCAGGAGGCCCUGCUGCCAGACUUUCCCCUGCACUUACAGGACCCUACCCAGAACAAUGACCAUUUCAGGUACCAGGAAGUGCAGUCUGACCACGGCCCCAGUAUAGCCAAUUUACGCUGUGGAAGAUACUUCUGUGGAGCGCCACUCAGUGGGAGUAGGAUAAGACCCCAGCCUACACUCCCUGGAGAUUCUGGAGCUGCCUUCGAUGUGGAGUAUGGUCAUCGGGACAGUGAAGAUGAAACGUUGCGCAAGUCGUGCAUAUCCACUGGCCUCACGCUCUUCCAACCUCUCUCUAUUCCUCUUAUAGCUCCUGAACUAGUUGCCUAUCACAAAUGUGUCCCAGAGGUAGAUGUAUAGUUUGGUCACUUAUUGAGCAACUCAACAAUAUAUCUUUCUAUAUAUCUAUGUUAAGGGAUUUAUCAACAAUGACUAAAUUAUGUAUACAUUUCAAUCAGAACUAUACUAAACAGAAUACUAUUACGUUACUGCAUGGAUGUAUGAAUCUUAUAAUCAUAGUACUGAAUAUAAUGUGUGUAAUUAUAAUCAAGAAUUAGAACAAAGACGGUCUGUUCCUUGUUAGCAACGAAUGGAGCUAUCGUCAGACUGGCUGGAAUGCUGAGUUCCUUACUGUCACACCCUGACCAUAGUUUGCUUUGUAUGUUUAUAUGUUUUGUUUGGUCAGGGUGUGAUCUGAGUGGGCAUUCUAUGUUGUGUGUCAUGUUUGUCUGUUUCUGUGUUUGGCCUGAUAUGGUUCUCAAUCAGAGGCAGGUGUUAGUCAUUGUCUCUGAUUGGGAACCAUAUUUAGGUAGCCUGUUUGGUGUUGGGUUUUGUGGGUGAUUGUCCUUAUUCUGUCUGUGUUACUUAGCACCAGUAUUAGGCUGUUUCGGUUUUUGUGUAUCGUUUAUUUUGUAUUUGAUUCGUGUUUACUUCAUUUUCAUUAAACAUGGAUCGCAAUAGCCACGCCGCAUUUUGGUCUGACUCUCCUUUGCCUACAGAAAAUCGUGACACUUACGAGACAUCCUGUCUUUACACAGGAAGGGGAGAGACCUUGGGCUGGUAGUAAAUGAUCUAACAGGUGGUGGACGAUGUGGGAAGGCUUGUGAACUAUACUGCCAUUGUAUCAGAGUGGAGGAGGGACAGUUUAAAACCUAUGACGUCAUUUUUUGUUUAUAACCUGUUGUAAACUGUACCAUGAUCAGUACUCUCGAGAAUAAACGCUAUUGAUUGAUUUUGA